UGGGGAAUAUUGCACAAUGGGCGCAAGCCUGAUGCAGCCAUGCCGCGUGUAUGAAGAAGGCCUUCGGGUUGUAAAGUACUUUCAGCGGGGAGGAAGGGAGUAAAGUUAAUACCUUUGCUCAUUGACGUUACCCGCAGAAGAAGCACCGGCUAACUCCGUGCCAGCAGCCGCGGUAAUACGGAGGGUGCAAGCGUUAAUCGGAAUUACUGGGCGUAAAGCGCACGCAGGCGGUUUGUUAAGUCAGAUGUGAAAUCCCCGGGCUCAACCUGGGAACUGCAUCUGAUACUGGCAGGCUUGAGUCUUGUAGAGGGGGGUAGAAUUCCAGGUGUAGCGGUGAAAUGCGUAGAGAUCUGGAGGAAUACCGGUGGCGAAGGCGGCCCCCUGGACAAAGACUGACGCUCAGGUGCGAAAGCGUGGGGAGCAAACA
rnacentral:rRNA from 1 species